AUGAAGAAGGACCUCCUGGAGCCGUCCCCGUACCUGCACUAUGACUGCAUCCUGAUCCAGUGCGAUGUGACUGUUCUCCUCAAGAAAAUGCCGGCCGUGGUGACCACCACCACAAAGACGCCUCAUAUCCAGGUGCCGCCGUCGGACAAGGAGAAGCAGUGCAUACAGAUCGUGGACAUGCAGCCCGCCGUCUUCGGAGCAUUUCUUCACUUCAUAUACACAGAUUCAUUGCCUGACAUGGAAGACCUCCUUGACAGCCAUGACAAGAGGGAGGUGAUGAGGCAUCUGCUUGUGGCUGCAGACAGGUAUUCCAUGAACAUGCUCAAGCUGAUGUGUGAGGGCAUCCUCUGCAAGGGUCUAGAUGCCGAGAGUGUCGUCGCCACGUUAGCUCUCGCUGAUCAGCAUCAUUGCAGCAACCUGAGAGACGCUUGCAUCGAGUACAUCAAGCUCUUCUGUUAG
rnacentral:rRNA from 1 species